rnacentral:lncRNA from 1 species
AUCAAGACUAUAAGAGACUAAACAAUUGUAGAAUAGCCCUCACAAAAAACAAGCUAUCCUACACUAAUACUUACAAUACAGUAAAUUUGUCACAUGGUCCCAGAACAUAUACAGAGUAUAACUACUACUACUACUACAACAACAUUCUUCUAAGAGAGCUACUACUACUACUACUACUACUACAUUCUUCUAAGAGAAACUAGGCAGAACUGCUCUAUUUACUGAGAUACUUUUAUACCCGUCACCCACCUUUCUUGAGCUUUGAUACCAUCCCACCAAUCAGGUCCAAAGUUAGCUUGAAUCUUCUAGAAGGGAAUAACUCCCCCCCCCAAAAAAAAUAACUAUGCUCAACACACUCUUCACCUCCCAGUGGCCCAGGUGAAAUAAUUUUUAUUCCUAGAGCCUUUUUGACCUUGGUUCUCACCAGAUUACAGCCAGCUGCAAAUUGUCUCCAAAUUAACAGGAACUUGUUCUGCCCUCCCUUCCACUUCACUUGGACACAAGGCAACAGGCCCAGAUCCUAACAGGGCAACUGGAACUGAUCAACCCCUUUUGGCCAAUUCCUUCACAAAAGCUCAUCAGCAAUGGAAUCAGCCGGACUUCCCUUGAAAUCUAAGUACUACAGAGGAAGUUUUUGUCUUGUGGUCAAAGCUGAGACUAUAGACUAUCCCAUCCAUCCACUCUCUUCAAUAAUUAGCAGUCAUAUCAUCAGAAGAGAAUGGAUACUGUACUUCCAGCAGUGAUGGGGGCAGAGAAGCUCUUGGAGAGUUAGCUACUGGGCAACAGUAGUAGCAGUGGUGAAAAGUGACCCGGGAAGCAAAUCUUUCACAGCUAAUUCUUGUUAUUACUGUGCAGAAAAUGGUAAAUUAUUUCUAAAUAUUUGAUACCUUGAAAAUCCUACUAUGAGAAAAAUGUCCUUUGAAAAUUCUCCACUCAGUUUGCUGGCCGCUAGUGAAACAGUUUGUUUAGGUCUACAGAAGGGAAACAGCAAUGAUGAUGACAAUGACAGCGAUGAUGAUGGUGAUGUUGAUGGUACGUUUUAUUGGAAUUUACACUAUAUUUAUUUAUACUGGAGUAUAUGACUUGCUUAAUCAUUUGUAGUAAAUACGGUACCUUCGUUGUAGUGUAUGCUAACAUAGAUAGCUGCAGUUUUUGUUUUGAUGAGAAAUAAGCACAAAUCUGGGCAGAAAGUAUAACACCAUCUGUUUAGAGUGUUCUAAAAUAUUGUUUGAGAUGUAGAGAAAAUGAAACUAACAGGAACAGGGCUGGAGCCAAUAUUUGCUAAAUUAAUGUUUAGGGCUCUGAACAAUUCAAAAGCAGGCCUGCAGAAACUGUGCUUAAUGUGGUUAAGAAUGGUGCCAAUCUGAAUUCAGUGUGUUCCCCAAUAAAGACAACAGAUCCAACA